UGAAGACUUUGUUAAAAAAAAAAAAUCAAGAAUGAAAUGUCAUUUUAGGGGGGCCUCUUAGGCCUGGUCCAUUGACCAGCCCAACGACCAAGAAAACAGCCCAAGAAGCGGCACUAUUUGUAAAGCUUUGGGGAAAAAAAACUGAGAUAGAAGACUCCCAUCUCCUUCUCCCUUCCGAUCUCGCUGGAGGGAAGCCGAUUUCGAGCAGAAAUCGGCCUCCCUCCAUUCUAUUUAACGAGCCCUCCGAGCCCUUUAGGAUUCCAUAUCCUUGUCGUUGGAGAUCGUCGGUGAUCCCAUAUUUUCUCUUUUUUUUCUCUGCAGAUGACCAUCACAAAGCCUGUUGAAAAUUAUGGCCAGAAGCUAGGACCGAUCAUCGUUGCCGACUGCCGGUCACAAGCUUGUGCUGCCAUGGCCAUAGCCAUUAUCGGCCACGGCCACCAUUGCCAGUGGAUGACCUUUUGUCUCGAGAGAACGGGGGACAAAGAAUCUCCAAUUCCAUCCAGAAAAUAGGAAGGAGAAAGAGAAGAAAAGAAAAGAACGAAAAAAAAAAAAAGAGAAAUUUUCUCUCUCUUCUGUUCCUCUCCCUUUCCCCAAUUUCUUUCAUUUAGGGGACCUACGCCUGGCGGUCGCUGCUAGAUUUCCAAUUCUAUAAUUAAUGGGUGACGAAGACUGGCAAGUUUCCCGAAGUUUCAUGGACAGACCUAGUCAUCUUUUUAAUUUUUCUGGAAAGGCUCGCAAAGCGUCUGAUGCUCACAUCUUUGGAAUGGUUGUACUAAAUAUUGCAUUCGGAGCAAGACAUAGUGAAGAACUUAGUAGAGUUGGUGUAGGAGCUUUAUAGGAAUGAGAUAUGUUUUACUGCAGCAUUAUGGAAGAUUAAACAAGUGUUUAACAAGCAACGAAUGAAGUAAUUGAUGGUAGUGGGACUAUGAUGCAGUAUCAAAUCGGAUUACAAUUUAAGGCCGUCCAUAAGACGUGGUGAAUGUUCUCAACUUUGAUCCUCAACUACCAGUCUAUCAGCGAAGAUGGAGGCUUUUUUUCAAGACGUCUGCACCCAGUGGCCAGUGAUUGCUGUACAAUUGCCAACUCUCUCAUGUACGGGCGUUGAGGUCUAGCAAUUUUGUCUAAAAUUUUAUGAAUAAUGUCAUGCCAUACAUUCCGCUUGCAAAUUAGUCAACAGCUACUGUUUAUAAAAAUAUGUACAAAAAUAUUUUAUUAGUUUUGGAGAAGACUCAUCUUUUUUUGUGGUUAGCACCUUGCAACAAGCUUUACACUGGAGAUGUAUUAGUCGAAAAAAAAUUGGUAAGGGAA